UGAAAAUAUACCACAGAAUGUAGAUUUUAUUAAUGAAAUUGAAGAUUUACAAAUCAACAAUUUACAUCCACAAAUAUAUAAUGAAAAUACUCCUACUGGAUCAGAUGAUGAUAGUGAUUUCUUGAAAGUUCCUUUAUCUCCUACCAAAAAAAAGAAAUGUAUUCCUAAAAAAGCAAUUCUUCUACCCAAGCAACUGAAAUAUUCAAUUAAGCAUUAGAAUUCUGGAAAGUCUUCAGCUAAAGAAUGGUUUGGGAUGUAGAAACCAGUGAAGUGAAAUCCAAGAAAUAAGAAAAUUAAAACUUUGUUUAAAACUUAUAAAAUAAUUUUUGCUAUUGUAAUUUAAUUUAAAAAAUAAGUUUUGUAAUUUAGUUAUUGUAAUUUUAUAUUUUGAUCAUAAUUCUUUAGGAUGAUCAACUCCAUAUUAUAAAGUGAAGUUUAUUAACACUAAAACAGAUCAUUUUUUAAUUCUGAAAUAAAAAACAAUCUGUCAGAAUCCAUAAGAAUUUGUUUUAGCAUUAAUGAACGUCACUUUAGAUCAUAUAAAUUACAAAUGACAUUAACUAAUUAUUGAUUACUAUAUUAGAAUUUUUUUUUUAUAUAAAAUGCUAGGACAUGAUCUGUCAUGUUUGAAUAAAUAUACAUUACAUAUAAAUUUCUGAAUUGCUUAUUUCAGAAAUGUGGUAUUUUGAUGAUCAAGUUAUUCAUUUAAUACUUAUUUUGAUGAAUAAUUCAUAAGUUAUUUGUUAUCUAAUGUAAAAUUCAUAUUUUGUUUGUU